GAGAGUUGGCUGAGUGGUCGAUAGCGGCAGUCUUGAAAACUGUUGACCUUCACGGGUCCGGGGGUUCGAAUCCCUCACUCUCC
rnacentral:tRNA from 1 species